CAGCCGCCGCGGUAAUACGUAGGUGGCAAGCGUUGUCCGGAAUUAUUGGGCGUAAAGGGCUCGCAGGCGGUUCCUUAAGUCUGAUGUGAAAGCCCCCGGCUCAACCGGGGAGGGUCAUUGGAAACUGGGAAACUUGAGUGCAGAAGAGGAGAGUGGAAUUCCACGUGUAGCGGUGAAAUGCGUAGAGAUGUGGAGGAACACCAGUGGCGAAGGCGACUCUCUGGUCUGUAACUGACGCUGAGGAGCGAAAGCGUGGGGAGCGAACAGGAUUAGAUACCCCUGUAGUCCCUGUCUCUUAUAC
rnacentral:rRNA from 1 species